AGUUUUAUUUUUGGAGUGGCCGCGGGCACGGUGGCUCGCUCCCUAAGGCUUCAGUUCACUUCAGGAUGAGUGGCCCUGUGGCACUCUGAGCCGGGAUUAACAAGCAGAGAGCAGUUUGUCCCGACAGCCGCUCGCCAAAGGAGUCUGAAAAUGUUAAUGGAAGUCGGCUACAGUAACGGGCUGGACCCUGACCUUUCCCAGCAGUAUCCUCCACCCUUACUGCCAAAACCCGGCAAGGACAACGCAAAGCUUCAGAAACUCAAGAAGAAGAGAGCCAAGAAAAAAGGCAGCCUUUCUCAGACGCCAAUCCCCUUUCGCGCCUGCUUGUCACCUGUCAACGAAGCGAGCACAGACCUUGAGCACAGUGACCAGUCCAGUCCACCAAGGACACCGGAUUCAGUCUACACUGUAGAUCCUUCAGUAUCCAGUUUCCCCUUUGACUCCUUAUACGAUCACUCUGCAUCUGCAUUUCCUUAUCCUCGGAGCAGUCCCUACGGCCAAACUGGCAGCUUUCCCCCUCAGUCCUACAUAACUCAGAUCAGGACCUCUGAAGAGCAGGUGGCUCCGCUGUAUGAGUGCUCAACUUUUUUAUUUGAUGACGUGACUCCUUUCAUGAUGCCACCUUCGGCUUCAACACCCCCAUCACCACCUGAGCAGGUUUCAGCACCAUCGCCUCCCUGUUCGUUAAAUUUAAACAUGACACAAAACUCCCAUGGGUCAGUCACAACAGUCCCUCCUGUCACGGUGUCGCAAUCCAGCACUAAAAUAUCAACUCACAGCCUGACCCUAUCCCCAGCCGCCCCCAAUUGUGGCCCAGGUCUGGAACCUUCUCAGGUUGCAGAGCUACCUCCUCUUCCAGCGUUGCUAUCCGUGUCAAACACUCAGACACAACCUUUUAUUGCCAACCAGAGGGAGACAAAUGCCAGUUCAAAGGACUACCCUCAGAGCCAGAUGUCAUUUUGGACUGCCAGACCUGCCAGUAAUGGCAACUUUUUUCCAAGCCAGAUGUCGCCUGAGAUAACUGCCUCAAAUAUAUCACUUGUUGAAGCAGUUAAAGAGACAAAGCCUGACACCCAACAAAGCAGGAUUUAUACAUCAAAGGCAACAUUUUAUGAGAUUUCUAAACCUCCCUCCAUCCAAGACCUCACAGUAAUAAACCCAACCUACCAGGGAGCAUCCAUAUCUGACGUAUACAGAAAGAAAACCCCUGUGUCACUGGUGAAAACUGAUCAGAAACUGAAUGUGUCCAUGACCCAAUGUGGAAGACCUAAGACUCCCUCUUCUACACCAGCUCGAGUAUUAACACCCUUUAUUGAAAUAUCCAAACCUAACCCACUUUUAUUUGCUGCUUUCAACUCAUCCAAAAGUCUAGAAGCUCCUGCAAUUCCCAAUGAGGCUCCAAGACAAAAACCAAUGAUUCAAACCAGUGGUUUAAUUAAACCUCCAGCUUCCACAGAAGAACAGAGGCAGACUGAUGUUCGUCACAUUACUGCUAUCAACCAAGCCAGCAAUUACGAAGAGAUUCAAAAAACACAAAGGAGUACAAUAAAUCUAAGCUUUGAUAAUACUGAUCUGUACCCCAGAGAGAACUUAGCAUCAAGUAUGACUGCACCUGACUCUGCUGUGGUCAAACCAGCACUAAUAGAACCAGCCAUCCCAAAACUACAAACAAACCAAGUCUCUGAAAGUAAAGCUUCAUCUUUACCAAAGGUCCCAUCCUUUUUAUCCACUGUACCAAAGACUUCAAAUCUCCACCCUACGCAAGUGAUUUCAAUGCAGUCACCACCAAGUGCCAACCCCCUGUCGACCCCUUAUCGUCCUCCAGUGGUUGAUGCUCGCAAGUCUUUGUCGUCACUAUUGGAGAGCCAAAUGUCUUUAGCGGCCUCCAAGCCCAAAUCACGAUCCACAUAUUAUGGCCUUACUCCAUCUGAGUAUGCUGCCUACGGUGGGAUUAGGACUAUUUCGUCACAUCACAGCCCUGUACUCACCAGGGUUAGAGAAACCACUUCAAAUAAAAUAGAGUCAGAUGUAGCUGUAGAUGGAUCACACGUCUCAAUGUCUAAUGCAACAAAACUACUCAAUGGACAUCAAGAUCAUCAAUCUUCAAUGGAAGCUCCUGCUGCUAACAUUUUACAACCUCCAAGGUAUUCUGAGCUUCCAGCUGAAAGGAUCAUCACACGCAGCAAAGAUGAGUUUGGGGAGAAUGUGUCUGAAGCUCAAAGUAAUGGAAUGCAAUUACUUAAAACAUCAAAGGUGGACACCAUGAAAUCUGAGCUUCCUCUUGGCUUGGCACAGAAAGCAAUGCAACAAUCCACAAGUGACGUAUCCACACCAAAAGCCUCUUUCUCUGAGGCUUCAAUACCAAUUUCUAAAGCAGGUGAGGUACACACACAAAGUGCGGCACCAUUUUCCAUAGAGGCAGCGCUAAAUCUACCCCCAUGCCUAACUGAUAGCAAUGGUGUGUUGAGUUCUUUCUCACCCUUAGUGAAAGUAGAUUCAGAUGAAGAAACCCAGCAGUGUGCAAAAGGGAUAGAUGCCAUUGAGAAAGGUGACAAUCUUGAGAAAACACCUACAAAAGGAGAAUCCAGGCCCACAAAUGCAAAAAAACAGUCAGUAAAAAUAGAGAUAGCUCCAUUCCAGUCUUACCAAACUGCUGGUGGAGUCAGUCCAUCAACAGCCAAUGGUCCACAUGUCCAACUCCCUGUCAAACCUGCUAAAGACCUAGCUGAGCGUAGAGGCCAGGUUGUUCAAUCUCCUGCAACAGAGUCAGAGCCCAAAUUCUCAGGCAGUGCCAUCAUGAAUGGUGCUUUUGUUUUAGGAAUACCACCAGCCACCCGACGGGUUUCAGAUAGACCACUGCCCAGUGAAGUGGCUACAGCUACUGAAGCUGUUUUACACAAACAAAUGGAAGAGGUUAACCAGCAAAUCAGAGCGAACAGGGGGGUUACUCUACCCAAUAAAACAAAGAUGCCAAACAUUUUGCCUUCUGUGACUGUUAACACAGAACGUAGCCUUAACAAAACAAACACUGAGCUCCAAUUCUCAAAUGUAUUAGCUAAAGAAUCAAUUACCGUUACCACAGGAUCCCAUAGGGAGGAAUUUCUUUUGCAACAUGAGCCUGUCACAGCAUCUGUAUGUUCUGCACAGUACAAUAUCUGUACAGUUUCUGCAGCUAUCCAAAGCACAACAAUCACACAACAACUCAGCGCAGAAACACAAAUUCACAAAAAUAGUCAAAUAGUAGGACACAACAUCCAUCUUCCUGCAGAGGGUCUCUCUUCAAAAUCUUCUCAAGUACCCAGUGUACAAAAUGCCAUUGCUGUUAAUAAUAACGUAAUGGGCAAACCUACUACAGAAACAAAACUACCCGACCUCUCUGUCACUGCAACCAAAUCCCCAAACAUUUCAGGCAUUAAACACCCUUUAGAUAUGAUCUUUAAUUUUCCCGCAAAAGAGCCCUUAAAGCUAGCCAAAACUAGUGAGAAUGAAUAUCUAAACACGCACAGUAGUAUAUUUCCCAAUGGCCAAGAUAAACUUGUUCAAGCAGCAAGUUGUUACUCAAACUCAAGCACAGCUAUAGGAGAGGCCACACAAGCAAUUGAAACCUUUCUUAACAUCCAUGCUAAAGAUGCAAUACUGUCACACCAAUUUAAUACAGAACAUAAGCUCCCCACUUUUAAUAACAUUAACAGAUUUAGCAAUACAGCAAUAGACACAGAAUUGCAUCCGCAACCGACCAAUGGAAGAAUAUGUUUAUUGACUGGGAAAACACCAACAGAGAAUCUUCCCAGUACACCUAUAAGAACAGAAAACAUUCAAUCAAAAGAUGUCAUAGAAACAAGACCAGCAUCUAAUCUUUCAAAAAGAAACACAGUACUGAACAUGCCUAGCAGUGAAACCAAACUGUCAGACAAACCGUCUGCAGGAUUGCUCACUGUCAGCAAGUCCUCCACAGACAUGGUCUCAUGUGGGCAACCAGGAGGUGUAGACGCAAUUCAACACGGCAUACCAGCUGCACAAUCUUCACAGGCUAGGACAUCCAAUUUGGGCAGUCAAGUUCAAAGUAUUCCUUCUGCUGAAAGCAAAGUCCCCAACAAGCUUCAUCCAGAAGUUAUUUUGCCAAUUAUGACAGACCAAGCAGUGAGCAUUAAUCCAUCUUUUAAUACUGCACAGGUUAGUAAAACUACCGUGCCAUCUAGCCCUACCAUGAGGCACGUCAUACCAAGAAGCCCUCAGCUGAGAUCAGACAGACCUAAGAAUGCAACAAAUCAAACAAUCAAUGCAAAACCAGUUUCUGGCUCUGUUGCUCAAACGAGAAACUACACAAACUCAAAAGCAGACGGGGAACUGACUGCCAACCUUUUUGCUGAGCAAAGAUCAUCUGAGGCAUCUGAUCAACAAAUUACAACUAAAAACACAUUAAAGGAACAAUUGACUUUCAACCAGCCAGUUAUAGUCAAAACUUUUGUAGCAAGUCCCCCUCCAAGGACAAAAAAAUCUGUGUUAUCUAAGAUUGAGUCAGCAGCUUCCUCAUCUUCUGGUUGUACCGUGGCAAACAGGGUAGAACAGCAAACCAUAGCAAGUGGAAUCCCAUUGUCUGGAGAUGAAGUCCAAACCUCUAUGAAUUCAGUGAGCUCUCAGACUGGAAUGAAUCAGUUUAGGAAAUCUGUCACUGAAACACAGAAAUACAUAGAAACUAAUAUUCAAACUGUAAAUACUCAAACUGUCUCACACACUGAAUUUAAAAACCAUGCUGCCACAAAUAUUCUCCCCCUUGCUGAAGCCACUACAGAUGCUAAAGCCCCACUUAUUUUAACUAGAGCAACUACAGGAGCCUCCCCUCUAUCAGAACCAAGAGUGUGUAAUACACCGAUUCAAACCUAUACUCCAACCUUGCCCCAGUCCUCCCAAACCCCCGUCUAUUUGAACCCUACCACAGACCCCAAACCCUCGCCUGUCAUUAUGAAAGACCAGACAAACCCUCCCAUUACAUUUCAUCCAAAUUAUACAAAUGUUCAUCCCUCUGCUAAGUCAAUCGAUGAGAUGAUUCCAAAACCAGAAAAAACAACUAAGGACAAUUCAGUCCUGACUAACAGCGCUGAGGUAAAAGUGCAAUCCCCAAAGCACAAGAUAAAAACCAGGCUAACAAAUUCUAGUAUAGAAGGAAAACUCUCCUCUGAAACUAUCCUUCCUAUCCAUUCUUCCGAUCCUGUUUUAACCAGUAAACCUAGGCUAAAAGCGCAAACUCCCAAUAAGCAGGUAGAUACAACACCGUCCUCUGCCACUUCAGAAAUGAAACCCUCAGUUAUAAAAACAGAUUGCUCAAAGUCUCCCCCCAAUCCGGUCCAGAUUAGCUUGCACACCAGUAAUGUUCAGCCUUCAACAGAGCCACCAGUACAGAACAUGUCCCCUGCAAAGCCAGCAACAGAUACAGUCAUGAAACCGUCCAUAGUUAACGCCGCUGUGAUUGACUCUGCCACUCCUGCCUCUCUGCCUCAGGCCUCAGUCUCAGUCAAAGCUCCAUCCCCAAACAGAGGAAAGUCACGGCCAUCUCAGCAAAAAACUGGACUCAAAGACAAGGACGUUCUGAGGACCAAAACUACAGCUGCACCGACGGAAGCCCCGGCAGCCGAACCCUCCACGAAGUCAGCGACAUCAACUGCAUCUUCAACAGCUGACAAGAAGACCGUCAAAGCAGAGACACCUUCUUCACCCAGCGAGCCCAAAGCAGCCCAGAAGCUGAAAGGCCUGAAGGGUAAGCUCAGCGGGUGGACACGGCUCAAGAAACACAUGGUCGUUGAGCCGGAGGAACUUACGUUUCCAGUGCCGGAGGCCAAACCUCAGGUCGAGAAAACAGAUCAAGGUGGCGAUGAUAAGUCUGCAGCAGACAAAUGUGCCAAUCAGGAGGUGGUCAACAAAAUAGAAGGUCCCAAGGCGUUGAACAUGUGGGACACCCUCCUUUUUCAAAUGUUCUCCACCAAAGAUCGAAUCAUGCACCAGAUCAACGCCAACAAGAAAGAUUCAGAGAAGAAAAAGGAACCUAAAGACAAUCCAACAGAAGUUCCUUCCUUUGUCAAUCGGCUGCCGAUUUUGCUGUACAGCCCGCGUUUCGAUGCCAGGAAGCUUAAAGAGGCGGCAGAGAAGCCGCUCUCGAAAAUAUCAGCAGUGUUUGAAAAGGGGCUGAUAAAACGCAAAUCCCAGGAUGACGAACAUAAGGACUUCAACAGGAAAGCGAGAGGAUUUGGUUCGGCGAAAGCUCCAGACGCAGAUACUUGACCUGAUGCCUAAGUAUGUUUGGUGAUGAGAAGUGAAAAUUGAAAGCUGCAGUGAUAAACAUAAUCAAAAACAAUGUGUGUGUUUAGUCAAUCUAAUAAUUAAGGUUAAUACUACAAACCAGGGCUGCAGAGAUGAGGAAGAUUUUUCUUGAGGGGAAAAAGAUUAAAAGUGUCCUUGAUUACACACUAAAAGAAAUUCAUCCCUAUGUGAAAUAUACAGUAUUUAUCUAAUGUUUUUAUCAGUUGUGGUUAUUGAGGAUGUAGUGGUUCGUCUAUAAGUUAGCUGUUACAGCUUUUUAAUGGUCAAUAUUAUUAAUAAAUAAUCAUGAUCAUCAUAUAUAAUCAUAAUCAACUGAAGGAUCUACAGUGUAGACUGAUAAUAAUAAUCAGUACUAUGAUAAUACAGGAGUAAUACAGGUGUGGCAUAUGUGCAUAAAUCAAAUGGGAUAGAUGUGUCAGAAAAGAAACUGUAACGUGAAGAAAGAAAGGAACAUUAUAUACUCAGCAGUGUUUUUUUCUCAGUUGAUGUUGGCUUAGACAUAGCGUUGAAAGCAUGUACUGUAGACACUUUAAUAGAUAGAAGAUUGUUUCAUUUGUCAUGCUCUACCUUUUUCUAUUUUUCUAACAUAAGUAAGGCUUUUAGUGUCCACAGCUGGUAGGCAGUUUUUAAUCACUGUAAUAAAUAGGGCUUUUACAUUCCUGGAACAACAGGGCAGAUGGAUUUUAAAAGAAGGAAAAUAAAGAUGGGUGAAGCAUGAAGGUCCAGUCAGAGCAGAUUAAGGCUUUCUGCAAGUCAAGCAUGGAGGGAAAUGAGGAGGCAGUUGUCCGAGCUUUCAAUCAGGCUGAGAAACUACAACCACACAGGCUGGUACACCUUGGGGCUGGAUAAUAAGGCAAAAAAACAUUGUGGUACCUAAAAGUUCUUAGUUUUAUGUCCGUUUUGAGGCUUAUAAUUUAGGUGCUUUGGGGACUUAGUUUCUAGCGGCUUUAUGGAUGGAAGUGUCAGGUCUGUUCAUGGUUGGUCCACCACUUGGGUCUUAACUGGAGAAUCUCAACUAUUGGAUGGAUUACCACUAUAUUUUGUACAGCCCUACUUGGUCCCCCAGUGGGGAUUGACUUUGGUGAUUCUCUGGCUCCACCAUUCGAAUGUGUCCAUCCAAUACUUUGGUUUAUGACUAAAUACCUGCAAAAGGAAUCACAUUCCCAUGAGCCUCAGCUGUACUUUCUGUUCGGAGCUAAUUAGCUAAUGUUGCCAUGCUAACACACACGUUUGACACUGACAUUAUAAUUUAUUUUUUUGUGUUAUUUUGAGGACAUACAUAGCCCAGUCCCAUCCAAAAGUCAAAUUCGUGUUUCAUCAUUUCACCAGGGUUGAGUGAAAACUCUCCACUUUUAUCCGUUUUGAUGAUGUUAAGGAUGAUGUCCAAGCUCCUCUGUCAGUUGAGGAAAGUCUUUAAGGGAAAUGCAUUGUCUUCAACUUGCAUAGGCAACUCUGAAAGUUGGAGAUCCAAUGUUUUCCUCCAACAUAUGAUAACCUACAGUAUGAUAACAUUUCCAGCCAGUGUAACAAAUAAACUCAGUGAUCCUGUUGGUGGAUUGUAAAUUCCUGCCCUGAGUCUGAGCAUCCAUGACUUGUGAACAAUUUUACUGAGUUUAGAUUGCAACUAAGAUGUAGAAGUGAAUACCGAUGAAUGAUAAAUAUGAUGAUGAAGAAGAUGAUGGCGAUGUGAUGAGGCCUGCUAUAGGAAGACAGACUAAAGGAAGACUGAGUGACAGCUGGAGAAGACAGACGGGUGUGAUGUUUCACAGCUUAGGAGGAUCGUGAUGCUGCUGUAGCAGAUAUUAGCAGGUUGGUGUUGAUAUAAUGGAUCUUUUUUAAAAAGGGUUGUUUUCCCCAAGAUGGCCGUCAUGUUAUGGAAUUUAUUUUAGGAAGGGGGGUGGGGGGAGUUUACCCCCAUAAGCAAACCACAGCCCCGUUUAUUACAGUGAUUCUUGGACUAUAACAUGUUUUUGUUUACUGUGUGUUUCUCAAAAAUGCAUAAAGUUGAAUGUGAAACUCA